AGUGUGAGGCGGGAGGACGUUCCUGCGACAGUCCUGGAGGGGUGAGCCUCAUGCGUCCUGCUCGUAAGUGUCCGUCUGUUUUAUUGCCAACUCUGUGGAACCUUUUAGCUUUAGGAGUUGGGAACCUGUGUGGGUUUGAAAAAGCUGCGUGAUUUGUGUUCUUGACACUCAUCGGGGCGACUUGGGCAGUGCUGUUGUGAUAAGGGCUGGUGGGACCUGGUGUGGCCUGAGGGAGAAGAUGGAUUAGAGCUCCCUCAGCAGGGAGUGUCUCCUGAGUGAUGGGGGCGGCCAAGGGUCCCUUACUGCCUGCUCCCUCCCCAUCAGUCGGCACUCAGCCCAGGGCGGACCCAUGUGGGCAGGCAGACUCUACCACUGCCGUGCCCCUGCCUGCCACCCAGGAAGGAGAGAGCAGGGAGCAGAAGCAGUGGCAGGGCUGCCCCAGCAGGUGAGCAAAGACCUCCAGUGGUUUUCUUUCCUGUUUCAGAAGUGCCCUUGUGCUGUGCUGUGCCAUGUUUCACCUGUUUGCCCUCUUGUCCAGUCCACACCCUGGCCUACCUGCCGAGCCCUGGAGGCUAUGCUGCACCUGCUGUGUCAUUGCGCCCCUUGCCUCUGGGAGAUAACCUGAUCAUCAUUUGACAACUGAGAAAACUACAGCUCAGACAAGUUGGCUAUGUGAUGGACUAGAAACCCAUGUGUCUUCUCUCAAGAGAACCCCAUAGGUUUGAGGAGAGAAUUAAACCUCUAAUGAGCAGCAUACCAGUGAGUGACCAGACCCAUGAAACAAGACAUUGGAGGGUGGAUUCUCUGAUUUUUCUACAUAAAUGCUCUCCAAUGGAAGCAAGUAACAUUUUUUAUUGUUACAUAAAGACAUCAUUCUGCAUCAUUCGUGUCAACAAUAUUUUUUGUGUCGAGGGGAAGGGCAAGGUAUUUUUGUUGUGGACCUGCUCUUAUCUCAGAGCGUGCUGGGUAUGACCUGCACAGUAAGGAGAAAGGAUCUAGAAGUUGUCCUAACUGAACUCUGUCAAAGUCUGGGUGAGGAGCUUUGGAGUUUGGGGUGGGGGAGGCAAUGAAGCCAAAUACAGAAAAACAAAAUGAAGAAAGCAUAUUUUUAGCACUUCUCUGACGAUGUGAAUCACUAGCUGUGGAGGAAGGUUCAGGACUCUGUAUUUUUUCAAAUGUGCCCUGGAAUUCCAAGGCAGACAAACCAAGCCUGGUAACCACUAGAGAACUGGAAAGAAUGUGGAUUCUAAGUUUGAGUUUCAAUUCAGCCUGUGUUCUCUAGAAAGCUGAUCUUGAGACAAAAAUCCCAAGAGGGGGAGCUUUCUUAGGGAAUGUGGUCUCAAAGGGAGUCAAAAAGAGUGGGGAAUGAAGCAGGAAUGAGCGAUGAGGAGCCAAUGCAAGGGUGCUUGGGCCGAUCCAGUUCUGUACUACAAUUUAAGAAGCCACAUGAAAUAAACCUUGGGACCCUCCACUGGGGAAAUCCA
rnacentral:lncRNA from 1 species